AAAAGAUUCUUCGAAAAUAAAUCUCUUUCCUUAUAUAUAUAUUUUUUACUAUAACCUUUUUCACUAUUAUUAUUUUCACUUUAUUUUUUACUUGAAGGUGGAAAAAUAUCGAAGAAGGAAAAUUUUCACGUUGCUUUGAGAGAAGAUAUAAUGAAACUUAAACAAUGGAAUAUAAAAUUACAACAACAGUAUUAACAAUUAAAAGUAGCUUCUAACACAUCUCAGCUAAGAAGAGAAAGUUCGUUUUCAUCAUGAGAUUUAUGUUGAAAUUUUUUUGAGAAUCACAAGUGGUGAAUACUUGGGAUAUUUAUUUUAUAUUAAAUUUGUAAAGAACGUCUAAUGGAAGAAAAACCAGAAUUUUGAAUUUCAUAUCCUAUUAGGUAUUAGACUUUGAUAUUUAAUUCCGUUGGAGGGGUAUAAUUUAAAUUGUUGGGUCAAAUGAAAAAGAAGAAGAAGAAGAAGAAGAAGAAGAAGAAGAAGAAGAAGAAGAAGAAGAAGAAGAAGAAGAAGAAGAAGAAGAAGAAGAAGAAGAAGAAGAAGAAGAAGAAGAAGAAGAAGAAGAAGAAGAAGAAGAAGAAGAAGAAGAAGAAGAAUGUUUAUAGCAUGUAAAGGCCAUUUCUUUAUUUUGUUUUUUAAAGAAACUAGUUUUGCAACAAUCGAUAACUUCGUGAGGCAGUGUAAAAAUUUAAGUUAUCCCUUUAGCAUUCUAUUAGAAGAAUGUUGUUACUUGCACGUCAUUAGCUUGUUAAUGACAACAGUUAAUGACGACAGUUAAAGACGACAGUUAACGACGGCAGUUAACGACGUUACUACUCACUUUUUGGACCGUGUUUUACAUUGCUACCAUGGCGACUGGUAAGUUAUUUCUUAAGUAAAUCAUUUCUCCGAGAGCAUACUAAUUUGGUUGUGUACUUCGGAAACUGGUAUUGUAAAAAAACGUCCUAACAAUUUAAAUCCAACGGUUGCAAUCGGUGAGAAAGCAUUUGUAAUGCGCAUUAGAAGAUAAAUAUCCGGCACUUUGAUUACAUUAGAGAUGCUUAAGUUUUUACAUAGCAUUCAUUGUUUCUAAGAACUUCUGCUUUGAAACGUAUAUUUAAAACAAUUUGUGUAACAUUUUAAGAUGUUUAUAAAUAUGCAUGUUUAGGGUUUCAUUUCAGAUCGGUAAGAUGCCAUAACUGAGGAGAAGGAGAUGUCAAACCACUAUGAUUGGAACCCAUACUAUUGUUAUUAUCACCAUUAUUUACGCAGGGUAGCCUGUUCAGUUUCUAUAGGAAGUGUUAUUAUUGAGGGUCCUGGAAAGAGGUUCCUAGAGGAUAUAAAGCUUCCAUUUGAGCUACGGAAGUCGUUCAAGCACAACAACCGCUCAAUUAGGCAACCGCCUAAGAUAGAAAUCCUAUUCUCAUGCUAAACAAGAAGCAGAAAGGAUUGAUUCACACUUUUAUAGGCUCUUACAUGACUCGGUCGGGGUUUGAACCCAAGACCUCCGGGAGGCGAACGCUUUACCACAAAGUUACUAGUCGUUAAAAAUAAAGUUCCUCUACGGCUGAUUUUUUGGAUAAACUUAAAUUUUCUAAUUUUAGGCUCUAAACAACAAAAAUAUCAGCUUAAAGUCACAAAGUGGCGAGAAAGAACUGAUUUUAAAACAGAAAGCUGUUAUUGCAGAAUUUCAAGUUUACCAUUAUCAAAUGUUACUCUGGAGAAAACUGAAUUACCUGAGCAAAUUUCUAGAAAUUGUUAGAAAAGGGUUUGACAUGGAUAUUCAAUAAAGUGUUUCGGUAUGAAUAUGAAUAGAAGUUGAAUGAGAAAUAGUAAAUACAGCUUUUAAACAUUGUUUGUAACCACCCAAGAUAUUAUAAUUAUAUCUUGAAUUGGGAAAAUAUAUGAAUGAAUUGUUUGCACAAACGAAUAAGAAAUUUUAUUUUUACUGUCUAUGGAAGGCUUAUCUGCAAGAAACAUACAAUGUUUUUAGAGUUUUUUGGCGAUAAAAGGGAGAAAAAACCAUUCACUCUGUAUCGAUUUUUUAAUAAUAUGAAAUAGAUAUAAGAAAUAUUA